CAAGUCAUUUCGUUUUACCUUUGUGCAUUAUUCUUUUCAAAUGUUCUUUCCUUCAUGAUGUGAUCUAUAAGAAGGCCACGUGUCAAAUGGUGUAAUGUAGAAUUUUGCUAUUCACACUUUUUGUUUCGUGUCAGAAAUGUAGCACACUCAAUUGGUCAAUCACGGACGUACUCUAUCUACAUCUCCCUGCUCUGCUCUACAAACACCUGACGCUGCAUGAUCAUUCAACGGCAAGUACAGCAGAAAGGAAAAAAAAAAAAUACCAGUGCCAACAAACAACCCAGCGAAGAUCUCAGUCUUUCUUUUCUUCUCCACGUCUCCUCACAGCUUUUCCCGCCACUUGUGAGUUUACUAAUGUGAAAAUUACCCGUUCAGCAACAAUAAGCCAACCCCAUCACUCACUUGUCAGCUAUGUCAACAACUGGAGGCCAGUACAAGAAGAAAUGGAUAGUUCAGGUGUAUCCAAAGAAGCAAGAUACUCUUUAAAGCUAUUGAUUCUAUCAAUGGGUGGUGUAGUAUGUAAUUGAUUGAUUGAGUUAAUUGCCCAGCUCUACUGAAGUCAGUCCCAAGUUUCCAGUUGAUGAUAGAGAGGCAGUGAUGGUUAAAAGCUAUUAGUGACUGUGGUAAAUCUGAAGGCUUUUAACCCUAAAAACAGGGUUUCCAUAACUGCGGUGGGCACAGUACAGAUAACCCAUUGUGUAGCCAUGUGCUUAACAGCAACCAAACAAACAAACUAUUUAUAGAGAUAGUCAUUUCUCUCAUGGUACUUGGGUUGAUUAUUGAGUGAAAAGUCUUCUUGGCACUGAUCUACUGCAUAACAGUUGCAUCAUGACGUCUGAUGUCAAAAGAAAAAGUGGAUUGUGGAAGACUGCCAGUACAGGUUACUAACAAUAAAAGUAUUCAAUACUCUGAACAAUUAUUUCUGAUGUUUUGAAUUACUCCAUGUAGGUUCACCUCUAGUACUGUAUUAGAUACUAACUGGAAACUUUUUUUUUUAUAAUCAUAUGCACAAUCAACAGUUAUGUGUUGCUUAUACAGAUUUAUUGUUAUGACAAGAACUGUUCAAUUAUUUUUAUAAACCUCAAUAAAGUGUUGUUUGAAAUUGUUU